AAAAUGUGUUGUUCUUUUAGUUCUUUUGUAAUUCUGGAGGUACCUCAAAAGAAUCUUAAAGACUGUGGUGAUAAGAUGCUUUCCUC
rfam:Equus caballus chromosome 8, whole genome shotgun sequence.